GAAUUGCUAGUAAUGGCAGGUCAGCAUACUGCCGUGAAUACGUUCCCGGGCCUUGUACACACCGCCCGUCACACCAUGAGAGUUAGGAAUACCCGAAGCCUGUGAGCUAACUUGUAGAGGCAGCAGUCGAAGGUAGAACUAAUGAUUGGGGUGAAGUCGUAACAAGGUACC
rnacentral:rRNA from 1 species